AUGUUUCGCCAUCUAGACAAAAGAUAMAACAUCACUAGGAUAAAAUCAAGAUGGCUACCUGUCAAUAUACUUUGAAUACCAUAAACACAGGCUAUGUGCAGUUGAUCGCCAAUUCUGGAUGAAAAUAGUUAAAUUGGAUGUAUUGCUGUGGGACAGUGUUAUGUCAUAACCUAAGAAUAAUAAUUUUCUCAAUUAAAUCCGUAUACGGAUGAAUUCUAGACGUUCUUUUUAUUAAAUUAUUAUAACAAAUACUAAUCAGCAUGCAGAUCUAUAUUUUUAAUUCCAAUUCAAGAACAUUAUCCUCACGAGAAGAAGAAUUCAUUACACCAUUCRAUCAAUGGAUAUAUAUUUCAUUUUCUUACGACUAACGAUUAAAAGAUUUGCAUUGAUUAUGCCAUCCGAAUAAGAGUUUUAUUCUAUAAUAUUAUGUAAAUAGAAUGUAGGUGGACUAACAAAGAAUAAUCAAGAGAAGAAUUUGUCAAAAGGAUAGGUAAAUAAUUUGACUAGAAAUGCCUACUCAUUAUUAUCAAGAUUGAUAAGAAGAAUCCAACAAUACUGCAACUAACAUUAUUAUAUUAAACACUUAUAUGUCUAUUUUGCACCCCACAAUAAUACACAUGCACAUACACAAAAAAGGAUUUCUUGUAUAAAGUGUUGUGCUGCGACUUAUCAUCGUCGACUUUAUCGACAUAUAAUUUUAUAUAAAUGAACGGGGUGAUUAAUUGGAUCAAAGAAAAUGUAAAAUCAGAAAGGAAUUUGCCUCGACUGUGUCUUUUAUGUUAGAUCAUCAUCAUCAUCAGCAGCAGCAUCAUCAUUAAUAUAUACUCUAUAUAUACACAUACAUAUUUCAAUUCUCUUGCGUGACC